AACGGCCGCGGUAUUUUGACCGUGCAAAGGUAGCAUAAUCAUUAGUCUUUUAAUAGGAGGCUGGAAUGAAAGGUUUAACGAAAAAUUAGCUGUCUCAAUUAUAAUUUUGAAUUUAACUUUUGAGUUAAAAGGCUUAAAUUUUGUUGGAGGACGAGAAGACCCUAUAGAGCUUUACACUUUAUUUUGGAUGAUUUUAUUUAGAGUAAUAAUUUAAUUUCAUUUGAAUGAUUGUUUUGUUGGGGUGACAAGAAAUAUAUAAUUAACUUUUAUUAUUUUAUUUUCAUUAAUGUAUGUUUAUUGGAUCCAAAAUUUUUGAUCAUUAGAUUAAGUUACCUUAGGGAUAACAGCGUAAUCUUCCUUCAGAGUUCAAAUUUACAGGAAGGCUUGCGACCUCGAUGUUGGAUUAAGAUAAUAAUUAGGUGCAGUAGCUUAAUUAAUAGGUCUGUUCGAC
rnacentral:rRNA from 1 species